ACCUGCUUUACGAGACCCGAGUCAAGAGCAAGUCAAUACUCCCCCAAAGAGAUCCCUGCCUUUGCUCAUAUUCGACCAGUCGGCAUAUACUUAACCAGACAAACUAAGACCUGGAAGUUUCACCAGUUGCUUCUGAUCUAUUACCUGCCUGAUACUUUCCACAUCUUCCCAUCUUUCUAAUGCAGCAUAUAUACUGGACAAGAUCACAAAUGGAGCUGGAUUCUCUGGCUCUAACUCUGCUAGCUUCAUUGCCGCUUCCUCUCCAAGAACUGGAUCUAGGUGUUGCCUACAUGAACCGAGCAAGGAAGAGUAAACCGAAGACGAUGGUUCUGACAUUUGAUCUAUUACCUCCUUGGCCUCUCUUAAUCUCCCAGACCGACCCAAAAGAUCAAUCAUACAACCUAUGUGCUCUGUACUAGGUUUAUAUCCAUAUUCUUCCUGCAUCAACCUAAAUAUUUGAGAACCCUUCUCGACAUUGCCACAGUGACUACACGCAGAUAGAACAGCAGUAAAGGUUGCUAAACUCGGUUCUACUUUCUCCUCUCGUAAUAGUUCGAAUAUUUCAAUUGCAGACUCACACUCUCCAUGUUUACCAUAUCCAGAUAUCAUAACGUUCCAGAACACGGGAUCCUUGGGUUUCGGUUCAAAUCGAUCAAAGAUCCGGCGUGCCCACGAGGAGAGCCCACAUUUCAUGUACAUGUCAAUGAGAGACGUUAAAACAAAUAUAUCCCUUUCCGCUGCAGCUUUAAUGACAUGCCCAUGGAUCUCUUUGCCGUUCUUCAAAGUCCAAAUAUCUGAACAAGCAGAUAA